rnacentral:lncRNA from 1 species
AUAAAAAACCAUUUGGUCGGAAUAAUCUAUACUUUUCUUCAUUAUAUUCAACAACAGUGGUUUUAAUGUUGCGAACAAACGAAACAAAAGAUCAUUCUUGAAACCACCACAUGAGCGACUUGCAUUAUUAAAAUAUCGAUGGGAGCACCUAGCAGAGAACGCUUAGUAUUGCUGCACGCGUGGCCUGACGGAGAUUUCUUUAAAAACACGCGUGGCAGUCAACGUGUUAAGAUGCGCACAUUUCUGCGUAGAUACGCUUUUCGUUUAUAGAUGUCAAAUUCUAGAUACAUAUAUGCACAGAUUCUCCACAAGAUAAAUAAAAUGAUACAUAUGAGUCUCUUGGUUGUAUUAAUUGCUUUCGCUGAACGCAUAUAUUCUCAGUCAAAUUGAUGCCUUACACAGAACGCAUAUAUGUGGUGGUAGUCCGCAAAGUUUCAUCCUGCAGCGAUAAAAGUGAAUAUGAUGGAAUCAAAUGGAACUAAUCGCAAAUUGAAUAAUGCUCAGGUUAAUUUAAUGCAUGUUGCUAGAGAGUGUUAAAAUGCUCCUGAUGAAAAACUCAAUCUAUUAGAAAAUUUGCUGAUAUACAUGGAAGCCCAGCAGUUGUGAUUUUAAUAUCUAUCUUAGUUCGAAAAUUUCCGUAAAAUUUCAAAAAGAGAAAACAAGUUACUUUCAGCAAAUUCAAGCAAAUAAAAACGGUACUGUAAUUGAUUCAAAAAUUGUUAUCAGUUCUCCAAGGCAAAUGUACAGUGCAAGUGCUUCGUUACCGGGUGUAUAACACGUUUGUAUACAGCACAACACAAUAUGACAAGAAAAUGCUCAAAUUUACUUUAUUAAGGGCAAUAAAUUUUUACAGAAUGUUUACGCUAUACUGCUGGCGUUGGAUGCUAUCCUUGGCCACAAAUCUGCACAUUCUUUUGCGACGGGUCCUGUGAUAGCUGACCCUUUCAUUUCUCCCUUGUUAUUGACAAUGACCCCUGCAUUGUC